UCGAGCGGCAGCGCGGUCUUCGGACUGGCGGCGAGCGGCGAACGGGUGAGUAAUACAUCGGAACAUGCCCAGUCGUGGGGGAUAACACUUCGAAAGAAGUGCUAAUACCGCAUACGUCCUGAGGGAGAAAGCGGGGGAUCGCAAGACCUCGCGCGAUUGGAGUGGCCGAUGUCAGAUUAGCUAGUUGGUGGGGUAAAGGCCUACCAAGGCAACGAUCUGUAGCUGGUCUGAGAGGAUGAUCAGCCACACUGGGACUGAGACACGGCCCAGACUCCUACGGGAGGCAGCAGUGGGGAAUUUUGGACAAUGGGGGCAACCCUGAUCCAGCCAUUCCGCGUGAGUGAAGAAGGCCUUCGGGUUGUAAAGCUCUUUCGGCAGGAACGAAACGGCGAGCUCUAACAUAGCUCGCUAAUGACGGUACCUGAAGAAGAAGCACCGGCUAACUACGUGCCAGCAGCCGCGGUAAUACGUAGGGUGCGAGCGUUAAUCGGAAUUACUGGGCGUAAAGCGUGCGCAGGCGGUUGUGUAAGACAGGUGUGAAAUCCCCGGGCUUAACCUGGGAACUGCGCUUGUGACUGCACGGCUAGAGUAUGGCAGAGGGGGGUGGAAUUCCACGUGUAGCAGUGAAAUGCGUAGAGAUGUGGAGGAACACCGAUGGCGAAGGCAGCCCCCUGGGCCAAUACUGACGCUCAUGCACGAAAG
rnacentral:rRNA from 1 species